GACGAACGCUGGCGGCGUGCUUAACACAUGCAAGUCGAACGGAAAGGCCCUGCUUUUGUGGGGUGCUCGAGUGGCGAACGGGUGAGUAACACGUGAGUAACCUGCCCUUGACUUUGGGAUAACUUCAGGAAACUGGGGCUAAUACCGGAUAGGAGCCCCUGCUGCAUGGUGGGGGUUGGAAAGUUUCGGCGGUUGGGGAUGGACUCGCGGCUUAUCAGCUUGUUGGUGGGGUAGUGGCUUACCAAGGCUUUGACGGGUAGCCGGCCUGAGAGGGUGACCGGCCACAGUGGGACUGAGAUACGGCCCAGACUCCUACGGGAGACAGCAGUGGGGAAUAUUGCACAAUGGGCGGAAGCCUGAUGCAGCAACGCCGCGUGCGGGAUGACGGCCUUCGGGUUGUAAACCGCUUUCGCCUGUGACGAAGCGUGAGUGACGGUAAUGGGUAAAGAAGCACCGGCUAACUACGUG
rnacentral:rRNA from 1 species